rnacentral:lncRNA from 1 species
CUCAAUCUCAAAGCAAUGGAUCGGAAGACUGUACUUGCAUUUGCAUUGAUGUGCGUCAUUGUCGCCGGUGUCGGCGGCCAAUCCCCGGCUGCUGCACCAACAACAGCUCCUGCAAAGGGUAGCAGCCCAGCAAAAGCUCCAUCCACAGCUCCUGCAAAGGGUGGCAGCCCAGCAAAAGCCCCAUCCACAGCUCCAGUGAAAGCCCCCGCUAAGCCCAAAUCACCAGCUCCCGCCGCUGUUCCAGCAGCUGCUCCCCCAUCUACAACCCCUGCAAAGGGUGGCAGCCCAGCAAAAGCCCCAUCUACAGCUCCAGUGAAAGCUCCCGCUAAGCCCAAAUCACCAGCUCCCGCCGCUGUUCCAGCAGCUGCUCCGUCUAAACAGGCUGUCCCCGCUCCGGCAGCAGCUCCCACAUCGACUCCUCCGGCGGCUACUCCAGUGAGUUCGCCUCCAGCUCCGGUUCCAGAAGCGAAAUCACCUCCAGCACCUACUCCUAAAGCUGCGCCGGAGACUUCACCAGCGGCUCCAUUGGCUUCGCCCCCGAAAGCCGAGGUGCCUGCGCCGGCUCACAGCAAGAAGAAGUCAAAGAAGCACCAUGCCCCAGCUCCUUCCCCGGCUUUGUUGGGC